UUUAUGUUUCAGGGCGAGGUGAAAUUCCUCACUGGCGGUAACAGAAUGCUGCGUUUACAUGGUUUUAUCCAAUACAUGCGCAUCAAAUCUGAAGUCUGCGAGCUGUGUGUAGUGUGGCUUGUACAACCACACACAGUAGAUUCGGUGAAAAGCCGAAACCAACGGUAUAGUCCGGAUGAAAGAGGCAGAUG
rfam:Coriobacteriales bacterium DNF00809 genomic scaffold Scaffold64, whole genome shotgun sequence.